AGUGGGGGAUAACGACCCAAAGGGUCGCUAAUACCGCAUAACAUCCUGCGCUUGGAUGCGUGGAGAUCAAAGUUGGGGAUCCGCAAGGACCUGACGCUUGGAGAGGAGCCCGCGGCCGAUUAGCUAGUUGGUGAGGUAACGGCUCACCAAGGCAACGAUCGGUAUCCGGCCUGAGAGGGCGGACGGACACACUGGGACUGAGACACGGCCCAG
rnacentral:rRNA from 1 species